AGUGAACGCUGGCGGCAGGCCUAACACAUGCAAGUCGAACGGCAGCACAGUAAGAGCUUGCUCUUACGGGUGGCGGGUGGCGGACGGGUGAGGAAUACAUCCGAAUCUACUUUUUCGUGGGGGAUAACGUAGGGACACUUACGCCAAUACCGCAUACGACCUACGGGUGAAAGCAGGGGAUCUUCGGAUCUUGCGCGAUUGAAUGAGCCGAUGUCGGGUUAGCUAGUUGGGGGGGUAAAGGCCCACCAAGGCGACGAUCCGUAGCUGGUCUGAGAGGAUGAUCAGCCACACUGGAACUGAGACACGGUCCAGACUCCUACGGGAGGCAGCAGUGGGGAAUAUUGGACAAUGGGCGCAAGCCUGAUCCAGCCAUACCGCGUGGGUGAAGAAGGCCUUCGGGUUGUAAAGCCCUUUCGUUGGGAAAGAAAAGCAGCAGGUUAAUACCCCGCUGUUCUGACGGUACCCAAAGAAUAAGCACCGGCUAACUUCGUG
rnacentral:rRNA from 1 species